rnacentral:rRNA from 1 species
UGGGGAAUUUUGCACAAUGGGGGAAACCCUGAUGCAGCGACGCCGCGUGAUUUAGAAGGCCUUCGGGUUGUAAAAAUCUUUUCUAUGGGAAGAAAAUGACAGUACCAUAGGAAUAAGGACCGGCUAAUUACGUGCCAGCAGCCGCGGUAAUACGUAAGGUCCGAGCGUUGUCCGGAAUCAUUGGGCGUAAAGGGUACGUAGGCGGGUAAGCAAGUUAGAAGUGAAAUCCUAUAGCUCAACUAUAGUAAGCUUUUAAAACUGCUCAUCUUGAGGUAUGGAAGGGAAAGUGGAAUUCCUAGUGUAGCGGUGAAAUGCGCAGGUAUUAGGAGGAAUACCGGUGGCGAAGGCGACUUUCUGGCCAUAACCUGACGCUGAGGUACGAAAGCGUGGGUAGCAAACAGG